UUAUGGCCAUAUCACAUUGGAACAUUGGUUCCCAUAUAAUCACUGAAGUAAAGCAAUGUCAAGCUUGGUCAGUAUCUCAAUGGGUGAUUGCUUAGGAAUACCAGGUGCUGCAAG